AACGACUCUCGGCAACGGAUAUCUCGGCUCUCGCAUCGAUGAAGAACGUAGCGAAAUGCGAUACUUGGUGUGAAUUGCAGAAUCCCGUGAACCAUCGAGUCUUUGAACGCAAGUUGCGCCCGAAGCCUUCGGGCCGAGGGCACGCCUGCCUGGGCGUCACGCAUCGCGUCGCCCCCCCC
rnacentral:rRNA from 1 species